rnacentral:rRNA from 1 species
UACGAAGGGUGCAAGCGUUACUCGGAAUUACUGGGCGUAAAGCGUGCGUAGGUGGUGAGUUAAGUCUGUCGUGAAAGCCCCGGGCUCAACCUGGGAAUGGCGAUGGAUACUGGCUCGCUAGAGUGCGGUAGAGGAGAGUGGAAUUCCCGGUGUAGCGGUGAAAUGCGCAGAUAUCGGGAGGAACACCGGUGGCGAAGGCGGUUCUCUGGGCCUGUACUGACGCUGAGGAGCGAAAGCGUGGGGAGCGAACAGG